rnacentral:rRNA from 1 species
UACGUAGGGUGCAAGCGUUGUCCGGAAUUAUUGGGCGUAAAGAGCUCGUAGGCGGUUCGUCACGUCGGCUGUGAAAUCCCGAGGCUCAACCUCGGGUCUGCAGUCGAUACGGGCGGACUGGAGUACUGCAGGGGAGACUGGAAUUCCUGGUGUAGCGGUGAAAUGCGCAGAUAUCAGGAGGAACACCGGUGGCGAAGGCGGGUCUCUGGGCAGUUCCUGACACUGAGGCACGAAGGCCAGGGGAGCAAACGGG